GCGGGCGUAGCUCAGUUGGUAGAGCAUCAGCUUCCCAAGCUGAGGGUCGCGGGUCCGAGUCCCGUCGCCCGCUCCA
rnacentral:tRNA from 1 species